AGCCGAUAGAGGGGUAUAAAAAGCCAAUAGAGGGGUAUAAAGAGUCGAUAGAGGGUAUAAAGAGCCGAUAGAGGGGUAUAUAGAGCCGAUAGAGAGCAUAAAGAGCCGAUAGAGGGGUAUAAAAAGCCAAUAGAGGGGUAUAAAGAGUCGAUAGAAGGUAUAAAGAGCCGAUAGAGGGGUAUAUAGAGCCGAUAGAAGGUAUAAAGAGCCGAUAGAGGGGUAUAUAGAGCCAAUAGAAGGUAUAAAGAGCCAAUAGAGGGAUAUAAAGAGCCGAUAGAGGGGUAUAUAGAACCGAUAGAGGGGUAUAAAGAGCCGAUAGAGGGGUAUAUAGAGCCGAUAGAGAGUAUAAAGAGCCGAUAGAGGGGUAUAAAAAGUCAAUAGAGGGGUAUAAAGAGCCGAUAGAGAGGUAUAUAGAGCCGAUAGAAGGUAUAAAGAGCCGAUAGAGAAUAUAAAGAGCCGAUAGAGGGGUAUAAAGAGCCGAUAGAGGGGUAUAAAAAGCCAAUAAAGGGGUAUAAAGAGCCGAUAGAGGGGUAUAUAGAGCCGAUAGAGGGGUAUAUAGAACCGAUAGAGGGGUACAAAGAGCCGAUAGAGGGGUAUAUAGAGCCGAUAGAGAGUAUAAAGAGCCGAUAGAGGGGUAUAAAGAGCCGAUAGAGGGGUAUAAAGAGCUGAUAGAGGGGUAUAUAGAACCGAUAGAGGGGUAUAAAGAGCCGAUAGAGGGGUAUAUAGAGCCGAUAGAGGGGUAUAUAGAACCGAUAGAGGAGUAUAAAGAGCCGAUAGAGGGGUAUAUAGAACCGAUAGAAGGUAUAAAGAGCCGAUAGAGAGUAUAAAGAGCCGAUAGAGGGGUAUAAAGAGCCGAUAGAGGGGUAUAUAGAGCCGAUAGAGGGGUAUAUAGAACCGAUAGAGGAGUAUAAAGAGCCGAUAGAGGGGUAUAUAGAACCGAUAGAAGGUAUAAAGAGCCGAUAGAGAGUAUAAAAAGCCAAUAGAGGGGUAUAAAGAGUCGAUAGAAGGUAUAAAGAGCCGAUAGAGGGGUAUAUAGAGCCGAUAGAGAGCAUAAAGAGCUGAUAGAGGGGUAUAAAAAGCAAAUAGAGGGGUAUAAAGAGUCGAUAGAAGGUAUAAAGAGCCGAUAGAGGGGUAUAUAGAGCCGAAAGAAGGUAUAAAGAGCCGAUAGAGGGGUAUAUAGAGCCAAUAGAAGGUAUAAAGAGCCAAUAGAGGGGUAUAAAGAGCCGAUAGAGGAGUAUAUAGAACCGAUAGAGGGGUAUAAAGAGCCGAUAGAGGGGUAUAUAGAGCCAAUAGAGAGUAUAAAGAGCCGAUAGAGGGGUAUAAAAAGUCAAUAGAGGGGUAUAAAGAGCCGAUAGAGAGGUAUAUAGAGCCGAUAGAAGGUAUAAAGAGCCGAUAGAGAAUAUAAAGAGCCGAUAGAGGGGUAUAAAGAGCCGAUAGAGGGGUAUAAAAAGCCAAUAAAGGGGUAUAAAGAGCCGAUAGAGGAGUAUAUAGAGCCGAUAGAAGGUAUAAAGAGCCGAUAGAGGGGUAUAUAGAACCGAUAGAGGGGUACAAAGAGCCGAUAGAGGGGCAUAAAGAGCUGAUAGAGGGGUAUAUAGAGCCGAUAGAGAGUAUAAAGAGCCGAUAGAGGGGUAUAAAGAGCCGAUAGAGGGGUAUAAAGAGCUGAUAGAGGGGUAUAUAGAACCGAUAGAGGGGUAUAAAGAGCCGAUAGAGGGGUAUAUAGAGCCGAUAGAGGGGUAUAUAGAACCGAUAGAGGAGUAUAAAGAGCCGAUAGAGGGGUAUAUAGAACCGAUAGAAGGUAUAAAGAGCCGAUAGAGAGUAUAAAGAGCCGAUAGAGGGGUAUAAAAAGCCAAUACAGGGGUAUAAAGAGCCGAUCGAGGGUAUAUAGAGCCGAUAGAGAGUAUAAAGAGCCGAUAGAGGGUAUAAAGAGUCGAUAGAGCGUAUAAAGAGCCGAUAGAGGGUAUAAAGAGCCGAUAGAGGGGUAUAUAGAGCCGAUAGAGGGUAUAAAGAGCCGAUAGAGGGUAUAAAGAGCUGAUAGAGGGUAUAAAGAGUCGAUAGAUGGUAUAAAGAGCCGAAAGAGGGUAUAAAGAGUCGAUAGAUGGUAUAAAGAGCCGAAAGAGGGUAUAAAGAGCCGAUAGAGCGUAUAAAGAGCCGAUAGAGGGUAUAUAGAGCCGAUAGAGGGUUCUCUA